AGUAUUAAAAUUUGUGGAAGUUAUAAAGAGUCAAAUUGUGGAGAGGUUGUUAGCUAUUGUGAAGUGAAAUACAGUGAAGUGUAGUAAAUAAAGAGGCACUUGAACGACCCUUGGUUAUUGAUAUGAUUGUAAAGAAGGUUUAUAUUGUGUGUGGAAGUUUUGUUUGUUGUGGGUUAGCGUUAAAGAAUUUAUCCUUUGAGAUGUGUUAUGGAGGUAGAAAGUGUAGGAAGUACAGUCCCUUAAUAUUUAGAAUACGAGAGGAAAUGAUAUAGUUGAGACAUGUAACGUGUGAGAGAGUGUGUACGAAGUAGCUGGUAUGUGCAUGAUGUGUAGGUUUAUGGAAUUGGAGUAUUGUGGUAAUUAGUAAUGGUGAAGGUAAUGAAGUAGUGAUGUUCUGGUUUUCGAAAGAAUGGAGUAAGUGAUGGUGUAUGGUUUGAAGUAGCGUUAAAAACCUGAGUGAGGUGAAGGUGAGGUUAAAUUUUGUAAAGGUGGUAUAAUACGCGGUUGAAAAAUGGUGCGGAGAAGAUAAAAUAAUGUUGUGUCAGUGUGGAGGUCAAUGUUUAAAUGAGGAAAUAAAAGAGUAACCCAGAGAAUGUGUAAAAAAGUUAGGAAGUAGGUGUGAUAGUGAAGAGGUGUGAUGAAGUGUAGGGGAAUUGCUGAAAAAUAGUUUGAUGGUGAAUGGUUUGUAAACUAAUGUUGCCCCUGUACGUCCUGCCUACGAGAUUUGAGUUUGGACAGUUAGUGAUAUGGUGAUUUAGUAGUGUGUGUGACUUGAUGAAAUGAUAAUCCUUAGAGGUGAAUAUGUAUUGUCCC